rnacentral:lncRNA from 1 species
CCUCUGAAUCUAGCGUAAGCGUUGUGGCUUCCGUUGGCAACACUGCGUCGAGUCGGAAGCAAGAACGAACAGCUCAAUGUCGGGACGAGAAGGAGGAAAGAAAAAGCCUCUUAAGGCGCCCAAGAAGCAAAAUAGUGAUAUGGACGACGAUGACAAGGCAUUCAUGCAAAAGAAGAAGGAAGAGGAGAGGAAGAUGAAAGAGUUGCAACAGAGAGCUGCAAAGGGUGGCCCACUAGGUGGUGGUGGCAUCAAGAAGAGUGGAAAGAAGUAAAGCCGAUUUCCUCUUAAUUGUAUCCUGAGUUUUCCCGUAAUUCUCGUUAAUCUCCAUUCAUUCAUACCCACCCAUUUUGAUGAAUCUGUAACAUUUUUGUUUUAUAAAUAAACCC